rnacentral:rRNA from 1 species
CGCGUAGGUGGUAGUGCAAGUCUGAGGUGGAAUCUUAGGGCUUAACCCUAAAUUAGCCCUGGAAACUGCAUUACUUGAGUCAGUGAGGGGAGGGUAGAAUUCCUGGUGUAGCGGUGAAAUGCGUAGAUAUCAGGAGGAAGGCCGGUGGCGAAGGCGGCCCUCUGGCGCUGAACUGACACUGAGGCGCGAAAGCGUGGGGAGCAAACAGGAUUAGAUACCCUGGUAGUCCACGCCCUAAACGGUGGGUACUAGGUGUAGGGCUCGUAAGGGUUCUGUGCCGAAGCGAAAGCAUUAAGUACCCCGCCUGGGGAGUACGGCCGCAAGGUUGAA